UACGUAGGGUGCAAGCGUUAAUCGGAAUUACUGGGCGUAAAGCGUGCGCAGGCGGUUUUGUAAGUCAGAUGUGAAAUCCCCGGGCUCAACCUGGGAACUGCGUUUGAAACUACAAGGCUAGAGUGUAGCAGAGGGGGGGUAGAAUUCCACGUGUAGCAGUGAAAUGCGUAGAGAUGUGGAGGAAUACCAAUGGCGAAGGCAGCCCCCUGGGUUAACACUGACGCUCAUGCACGAAAGCGUGGGGAGCAAACAGG
rnacentral:rRNA from 1 species